rfam:Ovis aries breed Texel chromosome 7, whole genome shotgun sequence.
CCUGGUGGUCCAGUUGUUAGGACUUGGCACUUUCACUGCCAGGGCCAGGGUUUUAAUCCCUGGUCAGGA